CCGGGUAUAGCGAAGUUGGUAUCGCGCCUGGUUUGGGACCAGGAGACCGUGCGUUCGAGCCGCACUACUCGGACCA
rnacentral:tRNA from 10 species